UCAAACUUGGUCAUUUAGAGGAAGUAAAAGUCGUAACAAGGUAUCCGUAGGUGAACCUGCGGAUGGAUCAUUCAUGGUCGUCUUGGUCUGCUGGGUGCUUAUGCAUGCAGUGCGACACAAGCAUGUCCUGUGCAAUGUGAAUGGAGGAGUGUGUGUUCAGGUAUGGAUGCACACGCCUGUUUUUUCUACAAAUGCAUUUCUCUACAAUUUCUGACAUUUGCAAAACAACUUCAAAACUGCCAGCAAUGGAUCCCUCGGUUCUCGCAUCGAUGAAGAACGCAGC
rnacentral:misc_RNA from 1 species